GGGCGAAUAGCUCAGUGGGAGAGCACCUGCCUUACAAGCAGGGGGUCCGGUGUUCAAAUCACCGUUCGCCCACCA
rnacentral:tRNA from 2 species